rnacentral:rRNA from 1 species
GUGGGGAAUCUUAGACAAUGGGGGCAACCCUGAUCUAGCCAUGCCGCGUGAGUGAUGAAGGCCUUAGGGUUGUAAAGCUCUUUCAGUGGGGAAGAUAAUGACGGUACCCACAGAAGAAGCCCCGGCUAACUCCGUGCCAGCAGCCGCGGUAAUACGGAGGGGGCUAGCGUUGUUCGGAAUUACUGGGCGUAAAGCGCACGUAGGCGGAUCGGAAAGUUGGGGGUGAAAUCCCAGGGCUCAACCCUGGAACUGCCUUCAAAACUAUCGGUCUGGAGUCCGAGAGAGGUGAGUGGAAUUCCGAGUGUAGAGGUGAAAUUCGUAGAUAUUCGGAGGAACACCAGUGGCGAAGGCGGCUCACUGGCUCGGUACUGACGCUGAGGUGCGAAAGCGUGGGGAGCAAACAGGAUUAGAAACCCGAGUAGUCC